rnacentral:rRNA from 1 species
GACGAACGCUGGCGGCGUGCUUAACACAUGCAAGUCGAACGGAAAGGCCCUGCUUUUGUGGGGUGCUCGAGUGGCGAACGGGUGAGUAACACGUGAGUAACCUGCCCUUGACUUUGGGAUAACUUCAGGAAACUGGGGCUAAUACCGGAUAGGAGCUCCUGCUGCAUGGUGGGGGUUGGAAAGUUUCGGCGGUUGGGGAUGGACUCGCGGCUUAUCAGCUUGUUGGUGGGGUAGUGGCUUACCAAGGCUUUGACGGGUAGCCGGCCUGAGAGGGUGACCGGCCACAUUGGGACUGAGAUACGGCCCAGACUCCUACGGGAGGCAGCAGUGGGGAAUAUUGCACAAUGGGCGGAAGCCUGAUGCAGCAACGCCGGGUGCGGGAUGACGGCCUUCGGGUUGGAAACCGCUUUCGCCUGUGACGAAGCGUGAGUGACGGUAAUGGGUAAAGAAGCACCGGCUAACUACGUG